UAUCUUGCACUGCCUCCAAUUCGGGCAGAACCAGUGGGAGCUGAUGGUGGUGACACGACCAAGGAAUCAGACUUUGCUACAGUCCCACAUUCCACCCCUACAAAGAUGGAUGAAAGAGGAGAUGAGCCCACAAAAACCGGACAGAGGCUUCUUCUUACAAGUCCACAACAGACGAUGCCUCAUAGGAAGCCAUCUUCAUCUGGCUCAUAUUUAGCACUGCCUCCAAUUCGGGCACAACCAGUGGACUUGACUGCUCCAACUAAGAAUACAUGGACUGUCCAAACUACAUCCAAUGUAGAUGUCCCACAGACUCAACAUGAAGAUGUAGCAGAA